GGGCCGGCAGCUCAGUCUGGACAGAGCGCGGGCCUUCGGAGCCCCGUGGUCCCGGGUUCAAAUCCCGGCCGGCCCA
rnacentral:tRNA from 1 species